rnacentral:lncRNA from 1 species
CCGCCUAUGGACUGUCUAACAUGGCUCGGAUUGUAUCUACUCUAUUGCAGAAAAAAAAAUCAGAUGUAAUUUUUUCUUAUUUAAUUAUUUACCCGUAUAUUUUCUGUUUGGUUUUUUCUUUAUUUUAUGAUUGUAUCAGCUUCUGUUGAAGAGAUGAGUUUAUAGUAAAAAUUCGAUUCGACGCUUCCAUUGUAGAAUUCCAAUAUCUGGUACCGAAUCAAUAGCAGUCGGUACCAAAGAGAGUUAUAGAUUCUUAAAAUUCGGUACCAGAGUAAGUACCGGAUUCCUAAUAAAAACUUCUGUAUUAAAUUCAUUCAUAUUAUUUUUUAUUUGUUUUAGUUUCCCCU